UACGGGAGGCAGCAGUAGGGAAUCUUCCGCAAUGGACGAAAGUCUGACGGAGCAACGCCGCGUGAGUGAGGAAGGUCUUCGGAUUGUAAAACUCUGUUGUCAGGGAAGAACACCCUGGAGAGCAUCCAGGUUUGACGGUACCUGACGAGAAAGCCCCGGCUAACUACGUGCCAGCGACCGCGGUAAU
rnacentral:rRNA from 1 species